rnacentral:rRNA from 1 species
AGGACGAACGCUGGCGGCGUGCUUAACACAUGCAGGUCGAGCGGAAAGGCCCUUCGGGGUACUCGAGCGGCGAACGGGUGAGUAACACGUGAGUAAUCUGCCCCUAGCUCUGGGAUAGCUCCGGGAAACCGGGAUUAAUACCAGAUACGACCACUUUAGACAUCUGUUGUGGUGGAAAGAAUUUUGGCUAGGGAUGAGCUCGCGGCCUAUCAGCUUGUUGGUGAGGUAACGGCUCACCAAGGCGACGACGGGUAGCCGGCCUGAGAGGGCGACCGGCCACACUGGGACUGAGACACGGCCCAGACUCCUACGGGAGGCAGCAGUGGGGAAUAUUGCGCAAUGGGCGAAAGCCUGACGCAGCGACGCCGCGUGGGGGAUGAAGGCCUUCGGGUUGUAAACCCCUUUCAGCAGGGACGAAGCGAAAGUGACGGUACCUGCAGAAGAAGCGCCGGCUAACUACGCGCCAGCAGCCGC